GAUGAACGCUAGCGACAGGCUUAACACAUGCAAGUCGAGGGGCAGCAUAAAAGUAGCAAUACUUUGGUGGCGACCGGCGCACGGGUGAGUAACGCGUAUGCAACCUACCUAUCAGAGGGGAAUAACCCGGCGAAAGUCGGACUAAUACCGCAUAAAACAGGGGCACCGCAUGGUGAUAUUUGUUAAAGAAAUUCGCUGAUAGAUGGGCAUGCGUUCCAUUAGGUAGUUGGUGAGGUAACGGCUCACCAAGCCGACGAUGGAUAGGGGAACUGAGGGGUUGGUCCCCCACACUGUUACUGAGACACGGACCAGACUACUGCGGGAGGAAGCAGUGAAGAAUAUUGGUCAAUGGGCGAGAGCCUGAACCAGCCAAGUCGCGUGAAGGAAGAAGGAUCUAUGGUUCGUAAACUUCUUUUGCAGGAGAAUAAAGUGCGGGACGUGUCCUGUUUUGUAUGUACCCUGAGAAUAAGGAUCGGCUAACUCCGUGCCAGCCGCCGCAGUAA
rnacentral:rRNA from 1 species